GACGAACGCUGGCGGCGUGCUUAACACAUGCAAGUCGAACGAAGAGCGACGGAAGCUUGCUUCUAUCAAUCUUAGUGGCGAACGGGUGAGUAACGCGUAAUCAACCUGCCCUUCAGAGGGGGACAACAGUUGGAAACGACUGCUAAUACCGCAUACGAUCUAACCUCGGCAUCGAGGAUAGAUGAAAGGUGGCCUCUACAUGUAAGCUAUCACUGAAGGAGGGGAUUGCGGCUGAUUAGCUAGUUGGAGGGGUAACGGCCCACCAAGGCGAUGAUCAGUAGCCGGUCUGAGAGGAUGAACGGCCACAUUGGGACUGAGACACGGCCCAGACUCCUACGGGAGGCAGCAGUGGGAAAUCUUCCGCAAUGGACGAAAGUCUGACGGAGCAACGCCGCGUGAGUGAUGACGGCCUUCGGGUUGUAAAGCUCUGUUAAUCGGGACGAAAGGCCUUCUUGCGAAUAGGGAGAAGGAUUGACGGUACCGGAAUAGAAAGCCACGGCUAACUACGUG
rnacentral:rRNA from 1 species